AACCCUCGCUGUUAGUUGCUACCAGGUUUGGCUGGGCACUCUAACAGGACCGCCGGUGGUAAGCCGGAGGAAGGUGGGGAUGACGUCAAGUCCUCAUGGCCCUUACAGGGUGGGCUACACACGUGCUACAAUGGCGACUACAGAGGGCUGCAAUCCCGCGAGGGGGAGCCAAUCCCUAAAAGUCGUCUCAGUUCGGAUUGCACUCUGCAACUCGAGUGCAUGAAGUUGGAAUCGCUAGUAAUCGCGGAUCAGCAUGCCGCGGUGAAUACGUUCCCGGGCCUU
rnacentral:rRNA from 1 species